rnacentral:rRNA from 1 species
UACGGAGGGUGCGAGCGUUAUCCGGAUUCACUGGGUUUAAAGGGUGCGUAGGUGGGAAUGUAAGUCAGUGGUGAAAUCUCCGUGCUUAACACGGAACUGCCAUUGAUACUAUGUUUCUUGAAUUUUUCUGGAGGUUAGCGGAAUAUGUCAUGUAGCGGUGAAAUGCUUAGAUAUGACAUAGAACACCGAUUGCGAAGGCAGCUAACUACAGGGAUAUUGACACUGAGGCACGAAAGCGUGGGGAUCAAACAGG